UACGAAGGGGGCUAGCGUUGCUCGGAAUCACUGGGCUUAAAAGGGCGCGUAGGCGGGCUGCCGCGUCCGGGGUGAAAUCCUCCCGCUCAACGGGAGAACGGCCUCGGAUACGGGCGGCCUCGAGGGGGGUAGGGGCAUCUGGAACUGUGAGUGGAGCGGUGAGAUGCGUUGAUAUUCACAGGAACUCCGGUGGCGAAGGCGAGGUGCUGGACCCCAUCUGACGCUGAGGCGCGAAAGCCAGGGGAGCGAACAGG
rnacentral:rRNA from 1 species